rnacentral:rRNA from 1 species
UGGGGAAUAUUGGGCAAUGGGCGAAAGCCUGACCCAGCAACGCCGCGUGAGGGAAGAAGGCCUUCGGGUUGUAAACCUCUGUCCUUGGUGACGAAAAAAAUGACGGUAGCCAAGGAGGAAGCCCCGGCUAACUACGUGCCAGCAGCCGCGGUAAUACGUAGGGGGCGAGCGUCGUCCGGAAUUACUGGGCGUAAAGGGUGCGUAGGUGGCCUUUUAAGUUGGAUGUGAAAUCCCCGGGCUUAACUUGGGUGGUGCAUCUAAUACUGGAGGGCUAGAGUGCAGGAGAGGGAAGCGGAAUUCCUAGUGUAGCGGUGAAAUGCGUAGAUAUUAGGAGGAACACCAGUGGCGAAGGCGGCUUUCUGGACUGUAACUGACACUGAGGCACGAAAGCGUGGGGAGCAAACAG